AUAUAUGCAUGCACAUGCAUGCGCACAAGCCCAUAGACAGCAGAAUAGAGUAGCCAAUUAAUUAUUGCUGAAGUUGCAGGAGAACAUGAAUUGCCCAGCAUUGGAUCUGCGUCUUCUGAAAGAACAGUCAGAUUUCUUAAUUGCUGAACCAUCUCUUCAACCCCAAAGUAUUCAGUGGCAGAGCAGUGUCUGCUUUGUCAUCUGAAAGGAAAAAGAGAAUGUAUUAUCAGUAUUGUUCAGACAUGUUGAGUGAUGAGGUAAGGUCUGUGCUUAUGAGCCAUUGCAAUUAAAUUAUGAUUCAUGAGCUACAGCCCCAAAUAAAUUUUGAUCCCUUUUAAUCUGUAAUUUUAUUUAUUCCUUCUCUAAUCAUAUGUUUCACUGAGCAUUUACACGGUUAAUUUCACUAAAUUACCCCAACUACAGAAAAGUGGGGUUUUAUUUGGACUUUUAAAAGUUCCACAUUAGAAAACACUUGUAAGAUUAAGAUAGACGUUUGCUGUGAACGGUCAGCUGGCUUCAUCUCAGGAAACGGACAACAAACCAGACAUUAAGGGACCUUUACUGUUAGUCAGGAGACCCUGAAGUCUUUUAUAAUUUAGGGUAAUAAUUCAACAGGUGUAUUGAAAUUGGUGGCCAUUUUGCCAAUAUCCACUGGAUCAUUUUAUCAGCUAUUAGAGAUGCUUAUAUCUUUUGGAGGGGGCCAUUGAUGAAAUCUCUACAUCCAUCAUUUAACAAACAAGACCCUUCUUAUUUCACACACCAGAAAAUGUGUUCCCAGACAGACAUAUGGGAAGUUGUACAGAGGAUGGUGUGAAAUGUCAGGGAGAAAGAAAUUUCUGAACUGAAUAAAAGUAAUUGUGAAAGAUCUGAAGUGCUGACUCUGGGGUUAAGAGUACUUGUCACAUUUUUUUUUCUUUUUUUCGGAGCUGGGGACCGAACCCAGGGCCUUGCGCUUGCUAGUCAAGUGCUCUACCGCUGAGCUAAAUCCCCAACCCCUACUUGUCACUUUUUUACCUACAUCGUGGCUCACAAUUACUUUUGGUUCUAUUUCAAGAGAUCACAGUCCAUCUUCUGAUCUGUGCAGGAAUCAUACAUGUGUAUGGUACACAGAAUGCAUGCACACGAAACACUCAUACACAUAACACAAAAUAGGUAAACAUACAAUAAAAUAAUGAAAGUGAUUAUGAAACAAAAAACUAUCUAGCCUUUAUAUAGUUGUGAUCUAUGAAAAGAGAAAAGGCUCAGAUAGAUUUAUUAUUUAUUAGAAAUGGUAGAUUUUUCUCCCAGCCAAAGUUUUGUUAUUGUAAAUGAAAAUAACCGACAGACUUCUACCAGACUCCUAUGAAAUUAUUAAUAAACACACUGGGGUGAUCAAUGUAAUACAUGCUUAACCUGUGUUCCAUCCUUUGUGUCCUGCUUACCAUUAUUUGUCAAUUGUAACCAGCCCAGAAUCCUCUGAGAGGAGAGGCUUCAAUUGAGGGAUUGCUUAUGUCAUGUUGGUCUGUGGACGUGUCAGUGAGAGAUUGUCUUGAGUGUUAGUGGUGGAGAGAAGGUCAGCCCACUGUGGGUGACAUCAUUAUCUGAGUAGUUGGUCCUGGGUCAUGUAAGAAAGCUAAAUAUGAUCCUGUAAGCCAGGUACAGAAUAAGUCAGCAAGCAGUUUCCUUUCUUGAGUUCCUGCCCUGACGUCCCUCAGGGAAGGCACUGUGACCAUAAUGCGUAAGCCAAACACACUUUUUCUCCCAAGUUGCUUUUGGUCAGUGUAUUUUAUCAUAGCAAAAUAAUGAAACUGGAACACCUCAAUGUUAUUAUCUUUUCUCAAGAUAGACAGAAAAUUCAGCCAUAUAAUGAAAAUAAAACAGUUGAUGGUAUAGGACAUUCCAGACUGAGUAUGCUGCAUAUAUUGGCUGAGAGUCAUACACAGAAACAUGCACUUGUAUUAUAGCUUAUAGCUUCCAGGAGCAAUGCUUUAUCCUAGAGCCUCAGUGUCACAACUGCUUCACUGUCUUCGUUACCCAUUUAGCCACCCUCAUGAAUGGUCAUUCAAAUUCCUGGAAGGAAUUCAGAAGCAGGAAGAACAUACAUGGAUGGCGGGUUACAAAAGCUAUUCAUCUAGCACUUAUGAAGCAGUGCUACCUGGAAGAACAAAUCACCCUGGGUAGAUGCAACCCUGAGUGUCUUUAUCUUGAUCCAUAAUUGUCACUGAUGAGGGAGAGUGCUGCUAUCCCCAAGGCUGUGGAGCAUGCAGGGUGCUGUCAUGUUUUCAGGUAUGAUGCAAAGUUGACUCUAUGAAGCUUAAACUUUGUCUUAUCCAAACCUUGUAGAGUUCCUGCCUUAAUCCCCUUGAAUAUGACAUUUGCCAGAUGACUCUCAUUGCUUCCCAUACUACCGUUUCUUUCCUCGAUGUGGUAUUUCUUAGUAUUAUUGAUAUGAAAUGUGUCAUUUGCUUCUGAAAGAGUCAGUGAGGACUAAAUCGUUUCUCUGUUGUUGUCAUUUAGGUUUAUGUAUUUAUGGCUCUUUUAUCUUUGUGAAAGAUACUUUUACUUGGAUGUAAGUGUAUCUCUUCUGUGUAUGUGUAUGUUAGUGCAUUACCUACAAAAUCCAGAAAUCGUAGUUAGAUUCCCUAGAGUGAAGGUAUUAGCAGUCGUGAGCUACCCCGUGUGGAUGUUAAGAACCAAAUUCAGGUCCUUUGUAAAAGAAGUGAAAACUCUUAACUUUAGAGUCCUUUCUCCAGCCUGGCCUGUCUCCUGUAUGGAAGAUCCCUGUCUUUGUGUACCUUUCCUUACUAUCUUGACCAUAGCUUACUGGCCAGCACCAAUUAUUCUCACUUCACUUAUUUAGUAUAUUUUAAUUCCACUAAUACUUAACAAAAAAUUCUGCUAUAUAAAUAACAAUUAAAUCAUGCUUCUAGAUAGCUUGAACAUGAAAUAUAUGUGACUUCCUAUGAGCUUCCCAUCUUGUAGACUUGUUCUCUGAACUGAAACAUGUUUGGAGAGAGGAUUAUUAAUAUUUAGGGAGUAAACAACUCACAAAAGAUAGCUUACUUCUUGAAACUUAUGGGAAUCACAAAGUCAUCUUCAUCCCCAAGAUUAUACAGGUGGUGAGGCCUGAGAGGGAGAUGAGACUUUCAGACUUCUAUAUCUGCCUGAAAGUCAUUUAGGGAAUUCCCCUCGUGCUGUGAUGGAUGAUUCAGUGAUACAGAUGUGCCUGAAUUAUACAUCACACUGUAAGAAAUGUCUGCAAACUAACGGUUCACCAAGUUGAACUUGGUCCUGCUUGUUACUCUGAUCUGUCAUUAGUUCUCUAUCUGGAGAGGGUACACUUUUGUUUGUAUACUUCUGGAAAAAGUCACAGCAACUUAUCAAAGAUCUCCUUUUUAUGAUUAGUGUGUUUAUAUUUUAAAACUCCAGGUCACCCUAAGGUUAGCUGCUAAUCUGACAAGUCUAUAACCUUGUCAGAGUCUCUGGCUAUAGAGCCCAGGAACCACAAAUUGAUGAAAGCUAUUCACUGAUUUUAGCAUGAAAUCAUGUUUGGAAAUUUUGUUAAUAUGACACAGGGAAUAUUGAUUCAAACCUCAAAACUGCCUGUUUUACUCUUCCUUUAUUCACUGAAUAUAAAUGACCUAGAAUUUCCCAAUAAGCCACUCAAAUCAAAUAUCCAGGCUAAUGUACUAUUAGCUUUGAAAGUACAGAAUUUGGUCGUAUCUUUUAUUGUUGUUGCUGAUCUUCCUGAUUGAGUGGAUGAAUAAACAUGUCAUCAUUUCAGCUACUAUUUUACGUAUUUUCUGAAGACAAGAGUAUAGUGUAAGAAUCUUCAAUUCAACUUGCAUCAUUUCAUCUAAAAGUGAAACUGAUGCCAAGAAAAGGAGUGAAAAUAUUCUGGGUGAACUCCUCAGGUAAACUAGUCAAAGCAGAAACAGACUGCACCUUGACAAAUUAAAAGGUGUAAGGUAUAGCUGUCUCUGGAGAGGCUCUGCCAGAGACUGACAGCUACAGACAUGGAGGCUUGCAGCCAAUGAUUAGACUGAGUAUGGGGACCCCAAUGGAGGAGUUACAGAAAGGACUGAGGAGCUGAAGGAGCUGAAAGAGCUUGUAACCCCAUAGGAAGAACAACAAUAUCAACCAACCAGCCUCCGAGAGCUCCCAGGGAGGGACUAAACCACUAACCAAAGAGUUCACAAGGAGCAACCCAUGGCUUCAGCUGCAUAUGUAGCAAAGGAUGGCCUGAUCUGGAUCAAUGGGAGGAGAUGUCCUUGGUCCUGUGAAGGCUCAAUGUCUCAAGGUAGGGGAAUGCCAGGGCAGUGAGGUGGAAGUAGGUGGGAGGGGGAACACCCUUAUAGAAGCAGGGAGACUAGAAUGGAAUGAGGGUUUAUGGAGGGGAAACUGGCAAAGGGGAUAGUAUUUGAAAUGUAAAUAAAUCAAAUAUCCAUAAAAGGGUCUGGGGGAGACAGUGAUGUGGAUUGGUUGGUAGAAUGUACUAUAAGAUUAAUUAAAUAAAUUGCUGGUGGUGCGUUCUUACUUCCUUCCCCAAUGUUCUUGGUUCCCAAACGAAAGACACAGACAGCCUUUAUUUUUUGAUAUGCCUUAAACACCACAAUAACUUGGCUACUUCCUAACCUCUAAGCAGUUAAUUCACCACCUGCAGACAAUCCAGAGCUAUCACUUACUAAAUUCUAUAUUCUACCCUGGACCCAGUUGAGCAGCCCACUGGGCCACACUCUCCCAGCUAUUUCACAUAGAGGCUAUGCAUGCCUGUUCUCUACUCUUCUCAGGUUUGGUGUGUCCUUUCCUCCAUUCUCUCCUGCCAUGGCGGAUCUCCUUCUCUUUCCUCCUCUUCCUCCUCUCUGUGUCCCAAGCCAGGGAACCCUAAAAGUCCUGCCCUUGUUUGCCCUGCCCAGCCACUGGCUGCUGGCAUCUUUACUUACCAAUCAGAACCAACUGUGGGAAGGUUCCCAGAAGCUAUGUGCACUCUAGAACAAACAGUUUUGGGGAAGGAUGAUUAGCAUUCGUAAUACAAGCAGCUACAGUAGAGUGCUUGCCUACUAUGCACAAAGCCUCUGGUCCCAUCUUUGGCACUGCAUAAACUAGGCAAGGUGCUACACUCUCAUAAUCUCAGCACUGGGGAGGCAGGAGGAUCAAGUAGUUCAAUAUUAUCUUUGGAUACACAGAAGUUCGAAGGGAGCAUGAGACACUUGAGAUACUGAUUCAAUCAGAAAAGGAGAGAGACAGACAGGCGGACAGACAAAAUGUAGUUUGUGAAGAAGUAAGAAACAUUCCCUCUCAUAGGUAAACUAAACAGAUUAAUCAUCUGAAAAUCCUAUUCCUGUUUCCUCCUAUGGGAAUGAUUUUAAACUGCAUUUAUUUAAAAAAAAACCCUUCAGGGCUUGGGGAAAGCAGUUAGUCUGUAAAUUGCCUACUGAAACAGCAUGGGAACCAGAGCUAAUCUCCAGCACCCUCAUAAAAGGCUGGGAAUUAUGUUCUAACACUUGGAAUCCCAGUGGUGGGGAAGUGGAAGUGGAAGAAACCCUGAGUCUCACUGAAUGACUUGCCUAGAUGAAUUGGCAAGCUCCAAGUCAAUUAGAGAUCUUAUAUCAAAGAAAGCAAAAAUUAAUGUACAGCACACACCCACACGUACACACACACACACACACACACACACACACACACACACACACACACACGGUAGACCAUGCCUAAGCAAUGACACUCAAAGUUGCUUGUGCAUACUCAUGCCCACACAUAUAUAAAGAUGAAGAGAACUAUGUAAUGUUCCCUAAGUGAAGUAUUCUGUUUUCUCCAUAUCCAUCCCCUUCACACUAAUAAUAAUUUUGACUAAGGCUUUACAAAGAAUGAGCUGAUCCUUCUCAGUCCAAGAAGGUUGAUGAUGGCUUUAGGUAGCAAGACAUAGUUGAGCAAGACAUGCUUUAGUUUUAAGUAAAUUCUUCCUUGAAAUUUAUUUCUCCCCUGAACAAUUCUUGCCCUCUUUAUGCCUGAGAAUAGACAGCAUGGCAUUCCAUCAUUUAGAGAAGCUUAGCAUGGCAAAGUCUUACCCUUUAGAAAACAUUUUCUCUGAUUCAAAGCUGCUGAAGAUUUCCAAAUUAAUGUUAAGGUAACUUUUUGCAUUUUGGAUGUAUUGCUAUAGCCACUUGCCCCUUAGUUCUAUAUUCUCACAAGUCUAUUAUAAGAGGAACUGACUGCUCUGCCCUGUGUGUGCUUUUAGCUAUCUGCUCUGGGGCUUUUGAUAGCCUGUUUGGCAAGCUUUUGGCCAAAAUCUUAUCUCUAACAAACAAAUAGGCAGGCACUGCAUGCAUUCAGGGCAAUGGAGGACAGACAGACAGACAGACAGACAGACAGACACACACACACACACACACACACAUACACACACACAAUAGCACACAUAUACACACACACCAAAGCAAGGACACUCAAAGUUGCAGUUCUCCACAGCAGAGUUCUGAAUAUGGGCAUUCAUUUCUUUACAGUGCCCUGAGCAUUUCUACCUCAAGGGUUACCUGUCAAUCAAAUUAAAGUAACAUCUCAACUCCAAAUGAAAUGCAGACUUUCUAACAGAAGCUGAUGAAAGGAUUAACGGAAAGUGAAAACCGCUGAUUGGCAUUUGCUCAGAGCUAUGUGUGACAGUGGGGUAGAUGUCCUAAUUUUGCUUUUGUUGUAAAAAAAGAAACUUAGAGAAAAAAGGAUCUAUUGUAGCUCACAGAUCCAGGUUUUAGUCCAUCACUGCAGGGAAGCCAGAAGAGCAUGAGAGUGAGCCCUUGGGUCACAUUGCUUCCGUAGUCAAGAAACAGAGAGGAAAGAGACUAUAUGUGCAUGCUAGUUCUCAGCUCACUCUCCUUUUCAGUCUCGCCAGAGAUCAGUUCAUAAAAUAGUCUUGUCCAUAUUCAAUGUGGUUCUUCACAACUCAAUCAACAUACUCCUCAAAAGCAUGGCCACAGGCCAACAUGAUCUAGACAAUCUAUCACUUAAGACACUCUCUCUGAAUGAUUUUAGACUAUAUAAAAUGACAGUUAAAACUGGCCAUCAUGAAACUCCAGCCACCUUGAAGGGCAACAGGUUUUAUACUAAUUCUAUCAAAAAUGUUCCUAAUUCCCUUCAUUUCAUGGAUAUAAAGAAUAUGAAGAAAAAGCACUUUAAGUGAAGUUUUACAGCAGUGGCCACAAUAGAAGAAGUGGGGCUAGAGAGAUGGCUCAGUGGGUCAAGUUCUUUCCAAGCAAGCCUGAGGCCCUGAGUUCUAUUUCCAGAGUAAAUAUAAAAUCCAGAUUUAUCAUGCAUACUGUUUUCUAUCCCUAAAUCCCUUGCAAAAGAGCUAAAUAAAAAGGAGACAAUGCUGCAUCAUAUUUGCUUAAAUUAGGACAUAUUUAUGCAUCUUCCCAGCAUUCUUUGGAGGAUUCCCCCUGGAAACUCUGUAUCUGAAUCUACAUAUAAAGCCCAAUUGUUCCCCCAAGAGAGCUUGCUGUUAUGGUUGAGCAGAAAGCUGAUGCUUAGCUUCCUGUGCCUUUUCUCCAACCAUCACCCUAACUUUUCUUAGGCUGUCUAUAAAGAGUCUCUUUAGGGUUGUACAUGUUCUGAAGUAUAUAUUUUUCAUGUAGUAGAACUUUUGGGUCUCUACACAUUGUAUCAUGGAGAAAACUGACAUUCAAAGCAGGGGAAAGCCUGCCUUCCCUGGUGAAAGCCAGUGGACAACGUAGUUCAUGCGUCAGAACCUCAAGGUCACUGUGAUUUCUGCUAGCAUUUGAUGUUUGGCAUGGCCUCAUCUUUCAAACAGUGGUGGCCACUGCACCACAUAUGUCUUAAGUGGUAUCCAGUGGAGAGAAAACUGUGGGUUAGAGAGAUGAGGAUCCUAGUUCAGAUCUUCAGAGCUUAGAUAAAAAUGCCUAGUGCAGUGGUGGCUCAUGCCUGCUAUGCCAGCUCCAAGAAGGCAGAGAUGAGAGGACCAUGAGGCUUCCUGGCAGUGAAUGGACUUGGACUUAUGAGUUCUUUAUGCAACUGUCUCAAAAAACAAGGUGGGCAAAGAUUGAAGAAGGCACCCGAUAUUGACUUUUUCAGUAUAUGUGAAAACUUGUGACACACAUGCACACACACACACACACACACACACACACACACACACACAGGGGGGGAGGGGCAGAGGGAGGGAGGGAGAGAUAGAGACAGAGACAGAGACAGAGAGAAAAAGAUGACAAUCUCCUGAACAUGUUUCCAAAUAGCAAGAACAUCUCUGGGAAAGAAAAAAGAAAGUUUAAUUUUGGAGAAUGGCUUCAGGUAUCCUUCUGUCUUCCUUCACUAUUGCUUUUUCCAUCCUCAAGGAUAGAGGCCAUACCCCACUGGCUGCCCUUGGGGUGAGCAGGAGUUGAGUGCAUUCAAUUUAGAUUUUCCUCAGGCUUCUGACUAGCAAUCAGUGCAUCUCUUUAUCUUUACCUCUCCAGCUGUUCUCUGUGUAGAACAGAGGAAGCCAGUCUGAAGGAAAUGCCAGAGCCCGUUACUGUCAGGAAAUUUCCCUAACUGUUUUGGCAUUCUUAAAGGGUAAUAAUGAUAUCUGUUGGCAACUUUCUUAGUGAGUUGUGCACCUAGAAUGAUAAUUGUAAGAGAAAAUAAAUAGAAGCUCAUUUGUGGGCAAAACAAUAUAAUUUACAAAGCUACACAUAAAAAUGUGAACUACAAAAUGGCUCAGUGGGUAGAGUGUUUGCUACACAAACCUAGUGACCUGAGGUGAGAUCCUACAACAUGGUGAAGCCAGACAUCAGGCCACAAGUAUCUGUAACCCCAGUACUCCUAGUUGGAUUGGGUGGGCAAGAGAAUUUCUCAAAGCUCUAACUCUAGCUGGUCUGGAGUACACACGUUAGAGGAGCCUGCCUGAAAUAAAUAAAAUGGGAGGCAAGAACUGACAAUCAAGUUGUCCUUUCAUUUUUAUGCCUCCACAUACACACACAAACACACGCGAGUAACACACACACACACACAAACACACACACACACACACACACACACACACACACACACACACACACACCAUAUUUUGGAAUUCUUUAACUUUAGUUUUACCAUGUGGCGCUAAAAUCCCUUCCCAGGGUAAUACAUAAACAGUGUCUACCUGUCCUUUAAAGUCUCAGUGACAAACUGACUUGUGAAUCCAAAAGUUCAUCAAUAACCUAUGAGUCUAUUGGGCUUAUUUACAAAGCAAUGGGUGAGGGGUUAAAGUCAGGAACACAGAUGACAGUAAAGUAUCUAUAUUGGGAGAUCUUUAACCCCAAAGGGAUGACGACUUCACUAUGACUGUGUAGAUGAAAAAAACUCUCCCAUCAUCUUUCCCUAGAUAAAUCUUGUACCACCUCACCAAAACCAUAUGCAAUUCUGGCAGAAUUGCAGCCAAUUGGUAUUGAGAGUGGAUUAAUGCUCAGGUGAUGGCCCCAUACCCCUUCCCAGCCUCUCCUACGAUGGAUGGUAAAGAGUCAACAAGACCAACUAUGAUAAUAUUUCAUGAGCAGGGCAAGCACAACUCCUAAAGAUGGUGGUAGUUUUGCCUGGAGGAUGAUAGUCCUGAAAUUCACCUUUGAACAUCUCCAACGAAUCUGGGCGAUGAGUGUAGCAGUUAGAUUAUCAGAGAGACAAUCCCCUGGCAACCCAGAUUCACACACUAUCCAGUUUAUUAGCCACCUGUCUUAAAAAAAAAUAAGAAUUCUAAUACUGACUGAUGUUUCGUUUAACUUUCUGUUUGCUGUCAUUAUUCCUACUUUGUUCUGCUAUUGUGACUGCUGUUUCCUGUUGGUCCUGUUUGGAACUUGUAAGCCACGACAGUUAUGUAGUCCUAUAGACUUCACCAUACAUGUAUGAAUGUAUUGAACAUGUUUCAAAGACAGAAAUUUGUCUCUUGGGGCUAUAGGAUGGACCAGUAGGUGAAGUGCUUACCAUACGAGCAUGAAGACCUAACAUUGGAUCCCCAGAAUCCAUACAAAGUCAGAUAUGGCAGCACCUGUAGUUCUACUCCUCCUAUCAUGAGAUUGAAGGUAAGGACAGAAUGGUGCCCUGAAACUCACAGGCCAAACAGCCUUGCAUCAGUGAAUGACAAAAGACCCUGUCCCAAGUGGGGAUGAAGAUAAGGAUGGACACCUCAAGUUGUCUCUGACACACACAUACACAGACAUCCUACAUACAGAAUAAGGUCAGGAAGAGAAGGAAGGGAUGCAAGGAUGAGGAGGAUCCUUCCUCCACAGCAGAGGGCAAUAUAAUACUGUUUCCAAAAUUAGCCAAGUUUGCUUCAACAUCCUGCCUUACUUCCAUUUUCAGAUUGAGUGGCUUGUUAUGGUUCCUCUGUUUUGGUGUAAACCUACAGUAUGUAUAGUCCUUCAAUGUGUAAUAGACUUAGCAGUUGUCCACUAUGGUAGUGAGAAAAGAAUUGGUGGCCAGAUACUACGUUCACCCAUCAUACCAAGAUUGAAUAUUCAAAGGAGUACAUCUCCGGAGGGCCACAGAGAGAGCUAUAUCUGGAGUGUCACCUGCUGAGGAGGAGCAUGACCUUGAGACUGAUUUUUUCAUUUAUGGGAUCCACUUGUUCACUCAUGCCAAAACAAGUUGCUUUAGGUACAAUUCCCUCACAUAUGAUCUGUUUUAAGUAAAGGAGGACAGCGACCUGUGUGUCCUUCUGUGAUGUUAGCACUGAGAUGCUGUCUGUGAAUGUAAUUUGCAGGUGCACAAUCUCUGUCAUGUAAGUCAGGGCCAUGCAAGUCAGGUUUAUACAAAACAUGGCUGUCUUGCUUAAUUAAAGGCCAGUCCAGGUCAAAGGCUGAGAUCACACGUUGGCAGCCUGCAGCUCUGUGGCACUAAGUUACAGCAUCCAAAGCUGGGAUUCUCACGUCAUACGUGAGUGGUGCUGAUCAACUUCUAAGUGAGCAUGUACUAUACACAGGAGCACGACCAUGUCAAAAUCCCAAGUGCCUCAGACUGGUGGAACUGCAAAAGCUCAGGCGCACAAAUGCUGGCAAAGAGUUGAACUUCAGCUAAAAACACUGCGUGUAUAAAGAAUCAAUUGCAUCUUCCUUAUCCAGGAAGUUAACAGUGUGUGCAGAAACAAUGAGCUGUAGCUUCCUCCUCUGUGCAAACUAAGGCUGCUCUACUACAGAGACAUCCUAAGGAAAUCAGCUGGCCCUUCCUGUUGUAUAUCACUAAUGCACUGAGCUUCUGUGUUCCUUCUCAGUGUGUCUCCAUCAGAGUGAGUGACUCACCUAUCCCAGCUCUAACCUAUGUGUGCCUGUUAUUUAUUCAUUCUCUGUCACUCCAGUCAAGUCAGUUCCGACACCAUGCAAAUCAUGGCACAUGCUAGGGAAGACUUCUUAGAAGAGACCAGUUUUCUGGUCUGUUAGUGGUCUUCUUAGUUUCUUUUUCCACUGCUGUGAUAAAAUAGCAUUAUGAAUCCCACUUAAGGGAGCAAGCGUUUACUCUGGCGCACUGUUCAGGGGUAUAGUGCAUCAUAGUGCAGACCUGAAUGCAGUAUUGCAGCUGCUUAAAACAGCUGAUCGUAAAUCAUCCACAGUCAGAACAGAGAACUGUGAGUGAAUGCUGCUGCCCAGCUCCCUCUCUCCACUUAUAUUCCAGGAUCCUAGCCACUGAGGCCCGACAAGGUGUCCCAGUUAAGGCAGCAGGAAUCACAGUCACAGAAAAGAUUCAGGAAUAGUUUCCACAAGAGUUAUUUGGAGACCUAGGCUGUGCUUACUUUUUGGUCUAUGGUUCAUUCUUUGGGAGCGAGCCCCCAAGGGUCCAGGUUAGUUGACUCUGUUGAUCUUUUUUUUUUUAUUAACUUGAGUAUUUCUUAUAUACAUUUUGAGUGUUAUUUCCUUUCCCGGUUUCCAGGCAAACAUCCCCCUCCCCCCCUUCUUUAUGGGUGUUCCGCUCCACAUCCUCCCCUUCCUUGCCGCCCUCCCCCCAACAAUUUAGUUCAUUGGGGGUUCAGUCUUAGCAAGACCCAGGGCUUCCCCUUCCACUGGUGCUCUUACUAGGAUAUUCAUUGCUACCUAUGAGGUCAGAGUCCAGGGUCAGUCUAUGUAUAGUCUUUAGGUAGUGGCUUAGUCCCUGGAAGCUCUGUGUUGAUCUUUAUGUGGAUUCCCUGUUCUCUUUAGGUUCCUCAAUCCUUCCCCACGACUUCCACAAGACUCCAGAGCUUCAUCUAAGGUUUGACAGUUGGUCUCUGGAUCUGUUUCCAUUGGCUGCUAGGUGAAACCUCUGGGAAGAGUGAUGCUAGGCUCCUGUAGCUUGCCUAUGGAUUCUGUUCCUCUGACUGGACAGCCUUGUCUAGCCUCAGUGGAAGAGGAUGCUCCUAGUCCUGCAGUGACUUGAUUUGCCACAUAGGGUUGAUGUAUAGGGCUCCCUCUUCUCAGAGGAGAAGGGGAAGUGAGGGGAAUGGGACUGGGGAGAGGAGAAUCUGUGUGAGGGGAAAUGGCAGGAGGUGGGGGAUGAUACUGGGAUGUAAAGUUAAUGAAUAACAGAAUCAUUAGUAGUGUCAGGGAUUGGUUCUUGCCCAUGGUAUGGGUCUCAACUUGAGUCAGUCAUUGAUUGGCCAUUCCAUCUGUCUUUGUUCUAUCUUUGCCCCUGCACAUCUUGUAGGCAGGACAGUGGGUCAAGAGAUUUGUGGGUGGUUUGCUGUCCUUAUCCCUUCACUAGGAGUCCUACUUGGCUCCUUCAAGUGUCCAUUUUAGAUUCUGUAUAUCCCACUGCUAAGAGUCUCAGCUAGAGACAUAGACACCCUGAGGCCCCAUAGGCAUCCUGGGGUCUCCACUCAUCCCAGGUCUCUGGCAGUCUUAGAGAUAACUCCCCACCCCAAGUCUUCACAAUUCUUGAUGUCUGUUUUCAUAUUUCUGGAGUUUCAGCCUUCGAUCUGAACUGUUCAUUCCCACCACAUCCUCUACAUCCUAGACACAUUCCAUUUCAUGGGCUCAGCCCUCAUUCCUGUUUCCAAGAGAUGAAGUACUAAGCUGGCUUCCUUCUGUGAUCACAGAGAAAUAAAGAAUUCUUUCAUGGAUGUGUGUGGGAAGCAGGCAAGAGGAAUGUAUUCAACUUACAUGAUGGUUCUCAUUAUUUGAUGGUGAAUGAUAAUACAGAUCUUAUAGUAAAAAGAUUCAAAAGUAUGUCUAAAUUCAGGGUUAACAAUUUGAACUAUCCAUAGGUAUGUAGAAGAAAUAGUAUAGAUGUUAGAAAUCUAAAACAUCUACCUCCAUGGCAUCAAGAUCAGGCAUACUCAGUACUCACAUGAUAGAACAGUUCAUAGACACAAAUGCAAAUAGGGAGGGGUGUGUGUGUGUGUGAUGCUAUUCUUGUUUGUCAAUGUGACUACAUAUGAAAUUAACUAAAUUCUAAGCUGCUAGAUAGAUACACACACGUAUAUAGAGAGAGUGUGUGUAUAGGUACAUAUGCAGUGUGUGUGUAUUUGUGUGUGUGUGUGUGUGUGUGUGAUUGGAAGUUUAGAAAACAUACAUUUAUUUGUAUAUUGUGUACAUGUGAGCACAUUUAAGAGGGAGUGUGUAUAUAUAUAUAUAUACAUAUAUAUAUGUGCUAUGAUUUCUGUGUCUGUGCAUGAGCCAUAGCACACAUGUGUAGCUCAGAAAACAAUGUGUGAAUGUUGGCCUUCUCCUUUCAGCAUGUGUGUCCUGGGAAACGGGCUCAGGUCAUGAGCAUUUGCAGCCAGCUGCUUUACUUCCUAAGCCAUAUUGCCCAUCCCUGAAAUAUUUAGUUACUAUCAUUUAUCCAAACUUUUCACUUUCACAUAACAAUAUCAUCAUCUCUGGCUAAUAUGUUCUAUGCUACUGUUAUUUAGAAGCCAGACACAAAUUUUGGUAUGAACUGGAUUGUUCAUGAAACCUUGAUGCUACUAGUGAAUACUUUUUAAAAUGAUGAUUCCUAUGUUCUAUUAUGCCUAGUCCAUUCUAUUGGUUUGUAAUGUUUUCUAGUAUUUUUUAAAGCUUGCUACCUUAUAACAACAUGAGGCAAUAACUCAAAAUUUUCAUAAGAUUUAUAGAUUUAAUAUUUCAAAUCCAUAGAAUUCAAUUUUGGACUAGUAGACACAGAAACUCUAAACUUUCCCAAGAAUAUAGCAAAGUUUUCUAACACCACUUAGGGAAUCUCCUAUUUCUUUACCUCAUUUUGCUUUCUUCCCUGACAUUUCAAUGUUGUCCUUCUACAUAUUAAUGCUAUAUGUCUGGCUGUGUCCUAGGCUCCCUCUGCUGUCACACUAUUUGAGUUUCAAUGAGUGUAUAGAUGUUAGCAACGACCAGGCCUGUUUCACAAGGUUUCUGGCUAUAAUUAUUUUUCCUCUCCAGAAAUGUCCUAGAACAUGUUCUUCAGUUUCUGUUAUCUGGUGUGCUGAGCUAUACAGAGCCUGCCAUUCUGGGUACAGAAAACAGUGUUCUUGCUCUCCAGACUUGAUCCCACCUUACCAUCCUCAAUUACAGUUUAGAUGACUUAAUUAGUGAUCUAGGAAGGGGAAUUGAAGGGUGUAGCCAGAUAAAAGAUAGGGAGAAACUAGGAUUUUUUUUAUUAAGUUGAGUAUUUCUUAUUUACAUUUCGAAUGUUAUUCAGAUGUUUCCGGGAAAACAUCCCCCUCCCACUCCCCUUCAUUAUGGGUGUUCCUCUCCCAACCCGUCCCCCAUUGCCGCCCUCCCCCCAACAGUCUAGUUCACUGGGGGUUCAGUCUUAGCAGGACCCAGGGCUUCCCCUUCCACUGGUGCUCUUACUAGGAUAUUCAUUGCUACCUAUGAGGUCAGAGUCCAGGGUCAGUCCAUGUAUAGUCUUUGGGUAGUGGCUUAGUCCCUGGAAUCUCUGGUUGUUUGGCAUUGCUGUUCAUAUUGGGUCUCAAGUACCUUCAGAUCUUUUAGUCCUUUCUCUGAUUCCUUCAAUGGGGGUCUCAUUCUCAGUUCAGUGGUUUGCUGCUGGCAUUCCCUAUUGUAUUUGCUGUAUUCUUGUGUCUCUCAGGAGAGAUCUACAUCCGGUUCCUAUCGGUCUUCACUUCUUUGCUUCAUCCAUCUUGUCUAAUUGGCUGUAUAUGUAUGGGCCACAUGUGGGACAGGUCCUGAAUGGGUGUUGCUUCUGCCUCUGUUUUAAUCUUUGCCUCCCUAUUCCCUGCCAAGGGUAUUCUUGUUCCCCUUCUAUAGAAGGAGUGAAGCAUUCACAUUUUGAACAUCUGUCUUGAGUUUCAUGUGUUCUGUGCAUCUAGGGCAAUUUAAGCAUUUGGGCUAAUAGCCACUUAUCAAUGAGUGCAUACCAUGUGUGUUCUUCUGUGAUUGGGUUACCUCACUCAGGAUGAUAUUUUCCAGAUCCAUCCAUUUGCCUGUGAAUUUCAUAAAGUCAUUGUUUUUGAUAGCUGAGUAAUAUUCCAUUGUGUAGAUGUACCACAUUUUCUGUAUCCAUUCCUCUGUUGAAGGGCAUCUGGGUUCUUUCCAGCUUCUGGCUAUUAUAAAUAAGGCUGCUAUGAACAUAGUGGAGCACGUGUCUUUUUUAUAUGUUGGGGCAUCUUUUGGGUAUAUGCCCAAGAGAGGUAUAGCUGGAUUCUCAGGCAGUUCAAUGUCCAGUUUUCUGAGGAACCUCCAGACUGAUUUCCAGAAUGGUUGUACCAGUCCGCAAUCCCACCAACAAUGGAGGAGUGUUCCUCUUUCUCCACGUCCUCGCCAGCAUUUGCUGUCCCCUGAGUUUUUGAUCUUAGUCAUUCUCACUGGUGUGAGGUGAAAUCUCAGGGUUGUUUUGAUUUGCAUUUCCCUUAUGACUAAAGAUGUUGAACAUUUCUUUAGGUGUUUCUCAGCCAUUCAACAUUCCUCAGCUGUGAAUUCUUUGUUUAGCUCUGAAAUCCAUUUUUUAGUAGGGUUAUUUGACUCCCUGCAGUCUAACUUCUUGAGUUCUUUGUAUAUUUUGGAUAUAAGCCCUCUAUCUGUUGUAGGAUUGGUCAAGAUCUUUUCCCAAUCUUUUGGUUGCCGUUUUGUCCUAACCACACCGUUCUUUGCUUUACAGAAGCUUUGCAGUUUUAUGAGAUCCCAUUUGUUGAUUCUUGAUCUUAGAGCAUAAGCCAUUGGUGUUUUGUUCAGGAAAUUUUCUCCAGUGCCCAUGUGUUCGAGUUGCUUCCCCACUUUUUCUUCUAUUAGUUUGAGUGUGUCUGGUUUGAUGUGGAGGUCCUUGAUCCACUUGGACUUAAGCUUUGUACAGGGUGAUAAGCAUGGAUCAAUCUACAUUCUUCUACAUGUUGACCUCCAGUUGAACCAGCACCAUUUGCUGAAAAUGCUAUCUUUUUUUCCAUUGGAUGGUUUUGGCUCCUUUGUCAAAAAUCAAGUGACCAUAGGUGUGAGGGUUCAUUUCUGAGUCUUCAAUUCUAGUCCAUUGGUCUAUCUGUCUUUCUCUGUACCAAUACCAUGCAGUUUUUAUCACUAUUGCUCUGUAAUACUGCUUGAGUUCAGGGAUAGUGAUUCCUCCUGAAGUCCUUUUAUUGUUUAGGAUAGUUUUAGCUAUCCUGGGUUUUUUGUCAUUCCAGAUGAAUUUGUAAAUUGUUCUGUCUAACUCUUUGAAGAAUUGGAUUGGUAUUUUGAUGGGGAUUGCAUUGAAUCUGUAGAUCGCUUUUGGUAAAAUGGCCAUUUUUACUAUAUUAAUCCUGCCAAUCCAUGAGCAUGGGAGAUCUUUCCAUCUUCUGAGGUCUUCUUCAAUUUCUUUCUUCAGAGUCUUGAAGUUCUUAUUGUAUAGAUCUUUUACUUGCUUGGUUAAAGUCACAGCGCGGUACUUUAUAUUAUUUGGAUCUAUAAUGAAGGGUGUCAUUUCCCUAAUUUCUUUCUCGGCUUGUUUCUCUUUUGAGUAGAGGAAGGCUACUGAUUUAUUUGAGUUAAUUUUAUACCCAGCCACUUUGCUGAAGUUGUUUAUCAGCUUUAGUAGUUCUUUGGUGCCACUUUUGGGAUCACUUAAAUAUACUAUCAUAUCUGCAAAUAGUGAUAUUUUGACUUCUUCUUUUCCAAUCUGUAUCCCCUUGAUCUCCUUUUGUUGUCUGACUGCUCUCGCUAGAACUUCAAGAACUUUAUUGAAUAAGUAGGGAGAGAGUGGGCAGCCUUGUCUAGUCCCUGAUUUUAGUGGGAUUGCUUCAAGUUUUUCUCCAUUUAGUUUAAUGUUAGUGACUGGUUUGCUAUAUAUGGCUUCUACUAUGUUUAGGUAUGGGCCUUGAAUUCCUAUUCUUUCCUGGGCUUUUAUCAUGAAGGGGUGUUGAAUUUUGUCAAAUGCUUUCUCAGCAUCUAAUGAAAUGAUCAUGUGGUUUUGUUCUUUCAGUUUGUUUAUAUAAUGGAUCACAUUGAUGGUUUUCCUUAUAUUAAACCAUCCCUGCAUGCCUGGGAUGAAGCCUACUUGAUCACGGUGGAUGAUUGUUUUGAUGUGUUCUUGGAUUCGGUUUGCCAGAUUUUUUUUUAAUUAACUUGAGUAUUUCUUAUUUACAUUUCCAGUGUUAUUCCCUUUCCUGGUUUACAGGCAAUCAUCCCCCUAAUCCCUCCCCCUCCCCUUCUCAGGGGUGUUCCCCUCCCCAUCCUCCCCCCAUUGCUGCCUUCCCCCCAACAAUCUAGUUCACUGGGGGUUCAGUCUUAGCAGGACCCAGGGCUUCCCCUUCCUCUGGUUUGCCAGAUUUUUAUUGAGUAUUUUUGCGUCGAUAUUCAUAAGGGAAAUUGGUCUGAAGUUCUCUUUCUUUGUUGGGUCAUUGUGUGGUUUAGGUAUAAGAGUAAUUGUGGCUUCAUAGAAGGAAUUCAGUAGUGCUCCAUCUGUUUCAACUUUGUGGAAUAGUUUGGAUAAUAUUCGUAUGAGGUCUUCUGUGAAGGUCUGAUAGAAUUGUGCACUAAACACAUCUGGACCUGGGCUCUUUUUGGUUGGGAGACCUUUAAAGACUGCUUCUAUUUCGUUAGGAGUUAUGGGGUUGUUUAAAUGGUUUAUCUGUUCCUGAUUUAGCUUUGGUACCUGGUAUCUGUCUAGGAAAUUGUCCAUUUCCUCCAGAUUUUACAGUUUUGUUGAAUAUAGGUUUUUGUAGUAGGAUCUGAUGAUUUUUUGAAUUUCCUCUGUUUCUGUAGUUAUGUCUCCCUUUUCAUUUCUGAUUUUGUUAAUUUGGACACACUCUCUGUGUCCUCUCGUUAGUCUGGCUAAGAAUUUAUCUACUUGUUGAUUUUCUCAAAGAGCCAACUUUUGGUUCUGUUGAUUCUUUCUAUGGUCCUUUUUGUUUCUACUUGGUUGAUUUCAGCUCUGAGUUUGAUUAUUUCCUGCCUUCUACUCCUCCUGGGUGUGUUUGCUUCUUUUUGUUCUAGAGCUUUUAGGUGUGCUGUUCAGCUGGUGACAUAUGCUCUCUCCUGUUUCUUUCUGCAGGCACUCAGAGCUAUGAGUUUUCCUCCUAGCACAGCUUUCAUUGUGUCCCAUAAGUUUGGGUAUGUUGUACCUUCAUUUUCAUUAAAUUCUAAAAAGUCUUUAAUUUCUUUCUUUAUUUCUUCCUUGACCAGGUUAUCGUUGAGUAGAGCAUUGUUCAUCUUCCACGUAUAUGUGGGCAUUCUUCCCUUAUUGUUAUUGAAGACCAGCUUUAGGCUGUGGUGGUCUGAUAGCACGCAUGCGAUUAUCUCUAUCUUUCUGUACUUGUUGAGGCCCGUUUUUUGACCAAUUAUAUGGUCAAUUUUAGAGAAAGUACCAUGAGGAGCUGAGAAGAAUGUAUAUCCUUUUGCUUUAGGAUAGAAUGUUCUAUAAAUAUCUGUUAAGUCCAUUUGGUUCAUGACUUCUUUUUUUUUUCUUUUUAGUUUUUUUUUUUUAUUAACUUGAGUAUUUCUUAUAUACAUUUCGAGUGUUAUUCCCUUUCCCGGUUUCCGGGCAAACACCCCCCUCCCCCCUCCCCUUCCCUAUGGGUGUUCCCCUCCCAAUCCUCCCCCCAUUGCUGCCCUCCCCCCAACAGUCUAGUUCACUGGGGGUUCAGUCUCAGCAGGACCCAGGGCUUCCCCUUCCACUGGUGCUCUUACUAGGAUAUUCUUUGCUACCUAUGAGGUCAGAGUCCAGGGUCAGUCCAUGUAUAGUCUUUAGGUAGUGGCUUAGUCCCUGGAAGUUCUGGUUGCUUGGCAUUGUUGUACAUAUGGGGUCUGGAGCCCCUUCAAGCUCUUCCAGUUCUUUCUCUGAUUCCUGCAACGGGGGUCCUAUUCUCAGUUCAGUGGUUUGCUGCUGGCAUUCGCCUCUGUAUAUGCUGUAUUCUGGCUGUGUCUCUCAGGAGCGAUCUACAUCCGGCUCCUGUCGGUCUGCACUUCUUUGCUUCAUCCAUCUUGUCUAAUUGGGUGGCUGUAUAUGUAUGGGCCACAUGUGGGGCAGGCUCUGAAUGGGUGUUCCUUCAGUCUCUGUUUUAAUCUUUGCGUCUCUCUUCCCUGCCAAGGGUAUUCUUGUUCCCCUUUUAAAGAAGGAGUGAAGCAUUCACAUUUUGGUCAUCCGUCUUGAGUUUCAUGUGUUCUAGGCAUCUAGGGUAAUUCAAGCAUUUGGGCUAAUAGCCACUUAUCAAUGAGUGCAUAUCAUGUAUGUCUUUCUGUGAUUGGGUUAGCUCACUCAGGAUGAUAUUUUCCAGUUCCAACCAUUUGCCUACGAAUUUCAUAAAGUCGUUGUUUUUGAUAGCUGAGUAAUAUUCCAUUGUGUAAAUGUACCACAUUUUCUGUAUCCAUUCCUCUGUUGAAGGGCAUCUGGGUUCUUUCCAGCUUCUGGCUAUUAUAAAUAAGGCUGCUAUGAACAUAGUGGAGCACGUGUCUUUUUUAUAUGUUGGGGUAUCUUUUGGGUAUAUGCCCAAGAGAGGUAUAGCCGGAUUCUCAGGCAGUUCAAUGUCCAAUUUUCUGAGGAACCUCCAGACUGAUUUCCAGAAUGGUUGUACCAGUCUGCAACCCCACCAACAAUGGAGGAGUGUUCCUCUUUCUCUGCAUCCUCGCCAGCAUCUGCUGUCACCUGAGUUUUUGAUCUUAGUCAUUCUCACUGGUGUGAGGUGAAAUCUCAGGGUUGUUUAGAUUCGCAUUUCCCUUAUGACUAAAGAUGUUGAACAUUUCUUUAGGUGUUUCUCAGCCAUUCGGCAUUCCUCAGCUGUGAAUUCUUUGUUUAGCGGUUCAUGACUUCUUUUAGUCUGUCCACAUCUCUGUUUAAUUUCUGUUUCCAUGAUCUGUCCAUUGAUGAGAGUGGGGUGUUGGAAUCUCCUACUAUAAUUGUGUGAGUUGCAAUGUGUGUUUUGAGCUUUAGUAAGGUUUCUUUUACGUAUGUAGGUGCCCUUGUAUUUGGGGCAUAGAUAUUUAGGAUUGAGAGUUCAUCUUGGUGGAUUUUUUCUUUGAUGAAUAUGAAGUGUCCUUCCUUAUCUUUUUUAAUGACUUUUAGUUGAACUUUUAGUUGAAAAUUGAUUUUAUUUGAUAUCUGAAUGGCUAUUCAAGCUUGCUUCUUCAGACCAUUUGCUUGGAAAGUUGUUUUCCUGCCUUUUAUUCUGAGGUAGUGUCUGUCUUUGUCUCUGAGGUGUGUUUCCUGUAGGCAGCAGAAUGCAGGGUCCUCAUUGCGUAUCCAGUUUGUUAAUCUAUGUAAUUUUAUUGGGGAGUUGAGACCACUGAUGUUGAGAGAUAUUUAGGAAUAGUGUUUAUUGCUUCCUGUUACAUUCAUAUUUGGAUGUGAGGCUGUUUGUGUGCUUUUCUGCUCCUUGUUUUGCUGCCAAGACGUCUAGUUUCUUACUUUUUGUAGGGUGUAGUUUGCCUCCUUAUGUUGGGCUUUACCAUUUAUUAUCCUUUGUAGUGCUGGAUUUGUAGAAAGAUAUUGUGUAAAUUUGGUUUUGUCAUGGAAUAAUGGAAUAUCUUGUUUUGUCCAUCUAUGUUAAUUGAGAGUUUUGCAGGAUACAGUAACCUGGGCUGGCAUUUGGGUUCUCUUAGCGUCUGUAUACAUCUGUCCAGGAUCUUCUGGCUUUCAUAGUCUCUGGCGAAAAGUCUGGUGUGAUUCGGAGAGGUCUGCCUUUAUAUGUUACUUGACUUUUAUCUCUUACUGCUUUUAAUAUUAUUUCUUUAUUUUGUGCAUUUGGUGUUUUGACUAUUAUGUGACAGGAGGAGUUUCUUUUCUGUUCCAAUCUAUUUGGAGUUCUGUAGGCUUCUUGUAUGUUUAUGGGCAUCUCUUUCUUUAGGUUAGGGUUUUCUUCUAUGAUUUUGUUGAAGAUAUUUACUGGUCCGUUGAGCUGGGGGUCUUUACUCUCUUGUAUACCUAUUAUCCUUAGGUUUGAUCUUCUCAUUGAGUCCUGCAUUUCCUGUAUGUUUUGAACCAGUAGCUUUUUCCAUUUUCCAUUAUCGUUGACAGUUGUUUUCAUGAUUUCUAUGGAAUCUUCUGCUCCUGAGAUUCUCUCUUCUAUCUCUUGUAUUCUGUUGGUGAUGCUUGUAUCUAUGGCUCCUUGUCUCUUCCUUUGGUUUUCUAUAUCCAGCUUUGUUUCCCUGUGUUCUUUCUUGAUUGCUUCUAUUUACAUUUUUAAUUCCUUCAAUUGUUUGAUUGUGUUUUCCUGGAAUUCUUUCAGGGAUUUUUGUGAUUCCUCUCUAUAGGCUUCUACUUGUUUAUUUAUGUUUUCCUGGAAUUCUUUCAGGGGUUUUUGUGAUUCUUCUCUAUAUGCUUCUACUUGUUUAUUUAUGUUUUCCUGUGAUUCUCUAAGGGAGUUCUUCAUGUCUUUCUUGAAGUCCUCCAGCAUCAUUAUCAAAUAUUAUUUUAAAUCUAGAUCUUGCUUUUCUGGUGUGUUUGGAUAUACAGUGUUUGCUCUGGUGGGAGAAUUGGGCUCCGAUGAUGCCAUGUAGUCUUGGUUUCUGUUGCUUGGGUUCCUGCGCUUGCCUCUCGCCAUCAGAUUAUCUCUAGUGUUACUUUGUUCUGCUAUUUCUGACAGUGGCUAGACUGUCCUAUAGGCCUGUGUGACAGCAGUGUUGUAGACCUGUUUUCCUGUUUUCUUUCAGCCCGUUAUGGGAACAGAGUGUUCUGCUUUCGGGUGUGUAGUUUUUCCUGUCUACAGGUCUUCAGCUGUUCCUGUGGGCCUGAAGAGUUCCUGUGUGUUCCUGUGAGUCAGAAAUGUGGGCUGAGUGUAGUCUUUUCUGGCUUCCCAGGCUUCUCUGCCUCUCUGAAGGUUUAGCUCUCCCUCCCAUGGGAUUUGGGUGCAGAGAGCUGUUAAUCCAGUCCCUUUAGGUUCCGGAGGUAUCUCGGGUGCAGGGGUUCUGCAGCUCCAGUGCACCUAUCUACCAUUCCCCAGAGGCCGUAUACAGUUUCCUCUUGGGCCAGGGAUGUGGGCAUGGGUGGGCAGUAUUGGUAGUCUCUCCCGCUCUGCAGUCUCAGGGGUGCCCACCUGUACGAGCGGUGAGCUCUCUCUCUCACAGGGUUCGGGGGCAGUGAGCUGUGGGCAGGGCUCAGCAAAGUUUGGAAUCCAGCUAGAAACCAGAAGUGUCCAGUCCUAGAGGAAUUUUGCCUUUGUGUGUCCUGAGACCACCAGUCAUGUCGUUUGGAGCAGAAAGGUUGGUCUUACCUGUGGUCCCGAGGCUCAAGUUUGCUCGUGGGGUGUUGCUUAUGAGCUCUCCACUAGGGCAGCAACCAGGAGGGCCUGUGCCGCCCUUUUGGGAGCCCCCAUGCACCGAGGUCCCAGAUGGCGUUCGGUGUUUUUCCCUGGCGUCAGAAAUGUGGGCAGAGUGUAGUCUCUUCUGGCUUCCCAGGCUUGUCUCUAGGAUAUUUUUAAUUCAAAAUAAAACAGUGGCUAUCUAUGCAGUUUUCCACACUCAGAACAUGGGAACUAUCUCUAAAUUGUAGCAUCUAGGAACUUAGCUUAGUGGCUAAGAGAGUCCAGUGCACUUGCAGAGGACCUGGGUUCCUUUCCUGUCCCGAAAGCAGAAAGCUCACAAUUGUCUGCAAGUUCAGCUACAGAUCAUUGAGUGCCGUCUUGUGGGUUCCCUGGAGGCCUGCACUCACAUGUGCCCAUGUACACAUGAACGUACAUACACACACACACACACACACACACACACACACACACACAUACACACACACACACAAUUAAAAUUAAAAAUAAAUCUUUAAAAAUGGUAAUAUUCAAGACAGAAACUCUAGCUACAAAUAAACUUCUUCACAUGACAUUUUGCUGUAAGUCAUCUAUAAUUGCACUGUAUAAUAAAAUUUCUUUACUGACCACAUCUUAGUUGUGUAAAGAACUAUUAAUUUAUAGAAGGAACAAAAGUAAUAACAGAGUGAUGUGAAAUACAGUGAUACAAAUUUUCAUUUGUAGAUUGAAAAUUCUCUUUAAUGAUUUAUUUAUUCUCUUGGAUGAUUUUAUUUAUAUUUGUAUGAGUGAUUGACUGCUUGUAAGUUUGUGCAUACUUAUGGUCCACAGAAGACAGAAAGGGGUACCAAAUCCGUUGGAACAGGAAUUGUAGAUGGUUGUGAUUUGCCAGAUAGGUUCUUGGAACUGAACCUGGGCCUUCUGCAAGAGUAUUAAGAGCUAUCAAAUGCUUAGCUAUUUCUCCAUCUCUGAAAAUUUUAUUAAGGGGCUAAAAACUUGGAGAAUAACACUUACAUUGAACUGGAAUUUCAAGACCACAAGGAUUCUAUUCUUGGAGAAUACCCACCUCAUCUUAUUUACAUAUGAGCCCAUGGAUCACACAAUCUAAGUAACUACUUCAUAGAACCUGGUUUGGGAUUAGAAUAACAAUAAAUGAGUUUUCUAGAUCAGCCCCUUCAUGCAGUUUCAUUUUUACCACCCUCAAAUUUAUUCAGCUUCUUUAUCAAGUCUAUCUACUUGACUACAAUUUAUAUGCUAUUUUCUGACCUUCUUCUGCUUAGAAAUAUUGAAUGGAUUAGAGUGAUCAUUUAUGGCUUUCCAUAGUUUGUAUGCCACCUAUUUCUUAAAACACACACACACUAUAUUUAGGACUACUUGUAGAACCAAAUGAGUGGCUAGAAGUCCUUGAGGACAAACUUCAGUCCCAAAUGUCACCUGGAAUAUUCACUAAAGUGCAGAUUGCUCCCCUCCCCAUUCCUGGUUCAGAAGCCCUCAGAUGGAGAAAUCUUCCUUUCUAGUAAGUUACAGAGUUUAUAAAUUUGAAUCAGGUAGUGUGCUGUGUGAAACAGUUCUGCAAUAGCUUUCUUACACACGUCUACAUGAGAUUCACCUGAAGAUUUUAUUUUCUGUGUCUGCGAUCAUAUGUGUGUUUAUCUAUGUAUAUAGGAGAAGUGUACCUUUAUAUACAUACAUCCACGUGGAGGCCACAGGUCAGGUACUUUUCUCAAUUACUUCUCCACUCUAUUUUGUAAGACAGGUUCUCUCAUUGAACCUGGGACUCAUUGAUUCUUUGCCUCCCUAGUUCUGGAAUUACAGGCAUGUGCAGACAGAGCCAUCUUCCUGGCUUUUGUUGUUUCUGAAGAUCACAGUUGGGCUCCUCAUUACACUGAAUCAGGAUCUUUGACUUGUGGAGUGUUUCUGAUAAAACAGACAUAAUCAGCAGCCAGAACUCAGGAUGAUUAGACAGCACAGGUAGGGAUGGAAUCUCAUUCUGUAAAAACAGGAGACAGAGAGGCAGAGUCCUGGCCAGAGAGUGAAUGGUGAUGGAGAGGGCAGAGGGUCAGAGCCUGCACAAUAACCUUGGGAGCAGAUCUAAGUUGGGAGUGAAUCUCACAAAUUUUUCAGUUUUUCAGGUAAGCAGUUUGAGUACCAAGUUGGUGACAGAAUCAAAGAUGCUGCUACACUUACAACUUCCCAGCUGCUUCAGGUCAUGUGUCACAUUGAUCCCCAAAGUGUUGGAGUAUCUAUGAAGACACAGGCUUGGGCUAACUGGAGCAUACGAAAAGAAAGAGGGGGCUGGAGAGAUGGCUCAGCGGUUAAGAACACCCGACUGCUCUUCCAGAGCUCAUGAGUUCAAUUCCCAGCAACCACAUGGUGGCUCACAACCAUCUGUAAAGAGAUCUGAUGCCCUCUUCUGGUGUAUCUGAAGACAGCUACAGUGUACUCAUAUAUAAUAAAUAAAUAAAUCUUUAAAGAAAGAGGAUGUGAAUCAGGAUAGAAGGGACGUGGGAAGGGAAAGAUGCCCUCAACUUUAGAGACUAUUUUACCUUUCUUAUUGGCUGAGAGUCCAGAAACUUCAACAUAAAAGAUAAAGUGAAGGUUGCCUAAAAAGAAGGCAUAUGUUCCUGAAAACACCGCCAACAAAUGUUUAAAACCACAUUAAAUUCCGCUUGCUCCAUGCCUGAAUAUUGUGACCUUUACUUUAACUGCUUUUCUUUCUUCUCUUAUCCUUAAAUCCAGACACUACAUCUCAUAAAAACCUCCUUACAAUUCACAUUUAAAAGGGAGAAUUGUUCAAGAUAAACAACUAAAAUAGGGAACACCUUUAUACUCUUUUAAACUUUAUUUAAUUUAAAACUUUGCUUAAACUUUAAACUUCGUUGUGCAUUGUUUGAAUAAUGUAACUUAAAUUGUGUGGCUGUCUGCGCAUGUGUGCAUGUGCACAUGUUUGUGCAUGUGCAUGUAUGCAUGUGUGGACUCAGAGUUCACUUAUUUGGCUAGAGGAGCUGGAUUCAAAAACCUAAAGGCUCUCCUUUACUUCCUCGAGUUGAGAGUCCAGGUGAGCUUUGCUGUGCCCAACAUUUUUAAUGGGUUCUGAGGGUCUGAAUUCAGAUACUGAUGUUUGUGGGCAAUCAUGUCACUGACUGGGCCACAUUCCAUGUUUCUGUCCUUUUGUCAUGUGAUCUUCUUGCUAAAUGCUUAAUCUCACAUGUGUGACAUUGUUAAUCCCCACUUAAGAAAUUCAUCAGCAUUGCUUCAUCCUGAUUCAUUUUAGAGUUCUUUUCUGGAGUGUCAUCAUGGAUGUGACUUUAAUUGUGCUGAAGUUCCUAUGUGGGGAACUCUACAAGCUACUGGCAAUUAAUGUUGGUUCAUGUCUCCUAACAACCAUUAAAAGAUCUAUGAAUUCACCUAAGUGAACUAUGGCAUGGGCUAAUAUCCAAAAAUCCCUUAGGAUGCAAACAUACAAACAUAUGAGGGAGUAUUUGUUUAUCUCUAUCUCUCUAUCUCUCUAUUUCUCUAUAUCUAUCUGUCUGUCUGUCUAUCUAUCUAUCUAUCUAUCUAUCUAUCUAUCUAUGUUAGAGAAAUUUCCUUAUAGUCAAUAUAUUUAAAAGAUUUUCUGAAAUUUUAGAGAACACAUGAGCACGCUGUCUUGUGAAGACUGACCUAAAUGGGUUAUGUCAUUUCCACAUGAUUGAAAAAGCAGGCUUGUGAGAGGAAAGAAAAAUGCAUUUUGUAGAGACAUCCUAAUGGAACCCCAGAGAGCUUCCAUAAAAGCCUAUGAGCUUCCACCUUUUUCUUGAUUGUCUUAAUUGAGAACAUUUAUAUAGUCUUCAGCCCUCAUUAAAAAGGUGUCUAAUGGACGGCUGUUAACUCAGAAACUCACAAUUUGUCAAUGUGCAGAGAAUAAGCACCCAUGUGGUGUUCAUCUAUAAAUGGGGCAUCUGUGUCACAUCCUUUCCCCCAGGGACUGGGAAUCGCAAGGAAGAAGGGGGAGAACGAUUUUGAAAGGAAGGACAGGUGGAAAAUGCCAGAGUGAAAUAGUGUCUCCUGUAAGUAACAGGGAUGUUGCACUUAGUUAUCUGCUCCAGCUGUGGCUACCUGCACUAAAUGUACACAAAAUCACUUAAUUAGAUGCUCCACUGUAGAGGGAGCUCGACAGAACGCAUCCCCAGGUGAGAAGCUAUGGACAGUCAGUGGUCUUUUGGGGAGAGUCAGGUUUCAUUGGAGGUGUGACAAUUGGUAGAUUGCUUAUGUACAGUGAGCAUAUUGCCCAUGUCCAUGAUCAUAUAGGCAGCAUCUCCUCAACUCUCCAAAAGAAGACACAAACCUGGGAAGUUGGGCAUGGGUCUGGGAGGAGAUGGAGGAGACAGGGAGAAGAAUUAAUCAUGUUAUAUAUUUUUAUAACAUUAAAAUAAUACCACUUGCUUUAUUCUCAAGACGCGGAAUUAAUUUCGUCCUGUAGUACAUGUCUUGUGAGCAUGUUGGUGGUCAGUGAGAGGCACCAGCUUAAUUAAUCACCUAACCAUAUGCUUCACACAUAUUCCAGCUCUCAUAGUUGGGCUGACUUACUUACAAAACACCAGUCUGCAGGUGUGUGUUUAGGUGAUGGUGACCAUCACAUUCUUUUCUCUAUAAAUACUAAGGGCAUUUUUGCCAUAUAUGCUUUCCCAGGGCCGUUAUUCCAAAGUGAGCAUGUGACAAUGUUUACAGUCUUUAGGGAGUUCAGGCACACAGGGAUCACUUUCUGGCUGCUAGUUUUACAGCUCUGCUUCAUGGCGUAUUUCCUAGGCAUUGUGGCACAAUAGUUCCCUAGACUUGGGAUAAAUUAACUAUUCCUGGGAAUGUUGCUGAGAAGAGUUGGUUGCAUAAGUUAGAUCCUCCUCUUUGUUUCACUGUUCAAGUCACUGCUUAUGUCAUCCUGAUAGCAUGGGGAGGCAUUACUAUUUCUGAUUUGAAUAAUAUAGCUGUUAAGGUUAAGAUUGAUUGCUAACUUGAUAGGUCUAGAAGAAUUUUGUAUACAAAUCUUUAGGUAUGUCUAUAAUAGCUUCUAAAUUGGAUUUACUGAGGUGAGAAGACCCUAUUCCAUGCAGGGACUAAACCCUGAAUUAAUUUCCCGUUGCUUCCUGAAAGUGUUUGUAUCAUGACCAGCUGCUUUUGCCACAUGUUUCCCCACUAUGAUAGACUAUUAGCCACAAUAAACCUUUUCACCAUCAAGUUGUAAGAUAUUUCGUCACAGCAGUGAAAAAGCAACUAGACGAAAUAGUGACUUCAAAGAAAUAAGGACACCUGUAUUGGAAAUUGUGUUGAGUCUUAUGCUCUUUUGAAUGACAAUGUUCUACAUUGACCUUACUGAGUGCUAAGCCCUUCUACCUUAUCUUUAACUGCUUAUGUAUCCCUUGGAGGGGAGGGGACACAUUACCUUCCCCUUCAGCCUUGAUAGAGCUUGCAGUUGAAAAGUUCUGUAUCCAUGUCAUACCCAGAGGACAACAUUCCACAGUACACUUCCAUGGCAGGCUGCCCCAGUUGGAAUUCAGUCCUUCAAAGUUAAGAAUAAUUAAGCUUUGUUUCUAAAGCAUUGAGACUGUGGAAAUUUGUCUUAGCAGUUCCCACUUGUCCAAUAAACAUGGCCUAGGAGAAUAUAGAAGAGAGUGGAGAAUAGCAUGUCUUGAAACUCUUCUAAUAACCCUCAUGCGUAUAUAUAUAUAUAUAUAUAUAUAUAUAUAUAUAUAUAUAUAUAUAUGCGUAUAUAUAUAUAUAUAUAUACACAUAUACAUCAUAUCUCUAUCUAUCUAUCUAUCUAUCUAUCUAUCUAUCUAUCUAUCUAUCUAUCUAUCUAUCUAUCCAUCCAUCUAUCUACAUCUAUCUAUCUAUCUAUCUAUCUAUCUAUCUAUCUAUCUAUCAUCUAUCUAUCUAUCUUUCUUUCUUUCUUUCUUUCUUUCUUUCUUUCUUUCUUUCUUUCUUCUUUCUUCCUUCCUUUCUUUCUUUCUUUCUUUCUUUCUUUCUUUCUUUCUUUCUUUCUUUCUUUCUUUCUUUCUUCUGUUUUGCCAAGGAGACUUAUGUGAAUAGGUUCUGAACCACAGUUCCACCCUUACAUACAUCAUAGACUUUUGUCACCUCUCUCUGAACUGUGAGUAGGAAUGAGUCGGUAGAGCUUGGAGCCAGGGAAUUUCUCCCUGGUCCGAUUGAUGAGGAGUUGUGUCAGUCUGUAUCUCUGCAGUCAAGUCUUUAAAUUAAACAAGCCCUUGUGGACUUCAUGGAAUGUUAGACAUUGCAAAGAACAUUUGAACUGGGAAUCACUGUACACUGGCCUUUCUGUGUAGUGAAUAAUGUCAAUUUCUUAUCUCUUAAAACAGGUACCAGGAAAGAUUGGGGUCUCUUGGGGAGGAAUCCCAAGGCCUCUGAUUUCAUUUCCAGAGGUUGAUGUUACAACAGUUAACAUGUGUUAACUGCCUGCUACCCACACUCGCUGUUUUAGUUAGGUUCAAUAUUUCAAUGACAAAAAUACCUGAGGAGAAGAAAAGACUUAAGGAAGGAAGACUUGAGCACAGUGAGGGGAGCACAGUUCAUCCUUCUGGAAGCUAUGACAUGCAGAUGAGGCAGCUGGUCACAGUGCAUCCACAACCUGGAAGCAAAAGACACAAGUGCCUGUGCACAACUCACUUUCUCCUUUGUGUUUAUCCCAGGACCCUCACCUAUAGAAUUGCGCUGCCCACAUUUAGAAGUUUGUUUUCCCAACUCAGUUAACUCUGUCUGGAUAGUUGCUCACAGACAAGCCCAGAGGGACAGCCAGUGACUCUAGACCCUCUUAAAUUGACAUUAAAUCAAAUACACUAUGAGAUAAUUAAUUUCCCCUCUUUCAAAUAUUAUUAAGUAAAAAAUUGAGAGACAGCACAGGUUUGCAUGUUUCCCCCUCCCUAAUACACGGUGCUAUUCAGAUGCAGGCCUGUCUCUUCUGUAAACACAAAUGUCUCUUAAGUUCAACAUGAGAUUCCAUUUCUGCAUUUACCUAGGUUACAGGCAGGUGAGCAGCCUAACCAUGUGACAGACAGGUGGGUCCCAAGAGGGUUAGUGAUUCAACGAGGUAUACAGUAUUUGACCCCUACUGGACUCUCACACAUGAGGAAAUAUUCACAACUAGGAGGUGCAAAGAGGGAAAACCCCAAGCUACUGCAAAACAUCUUUAACUACUUGAAAUAGAGAAAGAAAGAAAAAUCAGUGUAGAAUCCUACAAAGAGAAGAAAACUUGCCUGAGAAGUUCUGGAGCCCAGAAUACAGAGGACACACCUGAGAAAUCACUGUCCCAACAUACUUUAGAAGGUAAAACCUGACUGUCUAGCAGUGGGUGUUUCAGGGGGUGAAGGUUAUGGGGAACAUUUAUAUUUAGGUGAGUUAACACUUCAUGGAUGAAAAGGAGGGAAGGGUAGAAGUUCUAUGUCCUGAGAAAUGGAUGCAAUGUACUGAAAUUAAGGUUAAUUUUGGCUCUAUUUUGUUCUCCCGUUCUGUACCUUACUCUAAUUACUAACUUUGAGUUAGACCCUGGACUGUUAGCUUGUUAACAUAGUGCCACUUCUGACUCACAUUCAAACUCUUUGUAUUAGUUUCCUUGUUGCAGCAACAAAGUGUGUGACAAGAAGCAACUUAUGGAAGGAAAGUGUUAUUUUGGUGUGUGUGGAGUUGGGAUAAGUGUAACACUUGCUCCUAGGGAUUUAAAGACAGUAGAUGAUAACUGCAUAGCACAAUGCCUGGCAUAUAAUGCUCACUUACAUAAUCACUGAUACUGUGGUUAUUAUGACUCUGAAAGGCUUUUUGGCUUGUUACCCAUGAGAUUUUCCAUUGGAAGGUUUUAUCAAAGAACAAGUGAUUGGGUGAACAAAAUGAUGGGAAACAAUGGAAAAGUUUCUUACUGCUUACCACAGUCAGCAUUGGGAAAAAUGGCGAGUGUUUAAAGAAAUUGCUUGCUAAACUUCUGUAUGGCUUCAGGAAAAAAAAUAUGUUCCAUUUUCCAGCAGAGAAGUGGCAGUUAAGGAGAGUAAAGAGCGGUAGGGAGUUUAAAUAGUGCACUUGUCUGAUCGGCCCAGAAAUAAGAUUAACCCUUCAGUCGAUGCUGCUGUUGGCCAUUGGAUAUAAAUUUUUUCUUUAAGGAAAGCCAAAAUGGCUCAUAGGGGGCUGAGAAGAUGGCUCCAUGAUUAAGAGCACAUUCUGUUCUCGCCAAACAUAGACUUUCUAUAAUUAACAUCCACGUGUGGUAGUUCUUUACUCACUUAUAACAUGCAUAUAAGUACAUACAUCUAAAUUUAAACAUAAUUGAAAAUAAAAUUUGAAAAGAUGGUGUAUAGAAGCAAAAACAGUAUGCUGUCUUCUUUGUGCUCUUUGCCAUUUGCCCCUAGGUUCAUUUCCUCAUCAGAUGUAACUUCUUUCUCCCACUAGUCUACCAUUUAUCAAAGCCAUUCUUCAUAUAUUUCAUUUACACAAUUAAGUAUGUUCUGUGGUUACUUUUUACAUCUCAAGGUGAGGCCCUCCAUAGGAUCUAAUUUUUUUCUCGCUGCAAACAAGAUGUUUCACAGAAGCUAUAGAUCAAGACUCAUUACAAAGGCAUCUCAUUAUUUUUAAUGAGUAACUCCAUUAUUUCUGGUUCUACUGAGAGCAGGACAUAAUUCUGUCAAAGAGAAAAUGCUUGUUAAACUUUGGUGGCCAGAAACAUGACUUUCAGUCAAAUUUAGCCGCACUGCUUAUUAAGUUUAAUGACACAAUCUCCCGGGUUUAUGAGGGCUUCACAAGGGUGCCUUGAUGCAAGAUGCAUUCUUCUAUCCAACAAAGAAUAAUUAGGUAUGUGGUAAUCCACUGUUAUUUGCAUACCUGUGCCUCUGAAACGUCUUUGACUAUGAGUUAGCUUUACUAACUAUUGUCAUUUUGAAUGGUCUAGUGAGAGUUUCUACUGUUAAAAGUGUAGUGAAAUCCAAAAACAGUACUAGAACUUGGGGGAGACUUUGAAUCCUAUUUCUUUAUGAACUCUGUGACACAUCUACUUUUGACAUUUAGACAGUUUGUCCAAAAUGUCAUGAGAAUAAGAUUAAGGGAAUAGAAAUAAAGCAAGGGUGUUACCUGUCUGUUUAUAGAGAAGAGAGAAAGAAACUUGCAGAAGAUAUCAAAGAAGGGAGAUAGGGAAGGAAAGAAGGAGAUAGUCCACAGGCAUCUCCUAGCACUAGAUCAUAGGUUUAAAGCAACUGUGGCUGUAACUCCAAGUCAUACAGACCUCCAGGAGUGAAAGAUGUACCAUAUAAAAUAAAGCAGGAAAUUAGUCACUGAAUCACCUUGCCCUAUUUCACAAUUUCACAGAUAGAUGUUUUAUUCAUAGAGCAGUUGCUAUGUAUAAUGUGUUUAUUGGUAAGGAUUGGUAAAGAAUAAAUAAAAAUGUGCUAACAAUGACAGAACGUGGGCUAUAGCUCAGUUGGUAGAUGGCUUGCUGAGAUGCCAUGGAGUUGACAAAACCAGGUGUGGUGGUACAAAGUUUUAGUCCCAUCACCACAGAGGAAAGAUUAAGAGACAUUCAAAGCUACUCACCACUGUAUAACAAGUUUGUGGCCAGACUGACUGACAUGAUACUCUUUUAAAUAAAAGUGAAUCUGUGUCUGUGUGUUUGUGUAUCUUUGGAGGGUAUUGAUCCUUAAACUUCAGGUGAGCUCAUAUUUCUAUUCUUUUAGUAUUUCAUAACAAAGUAUGGUACCUACCCCUAUAAUUUUAAAACAAUUAAUUUAUAUUAAUUCAUUGUAUAUUUUUAUGUAUUGAGGCAUGCAGAGGACAGUUUUCAAGAGCCUGUUCUCUUCUUCCACCAAGUGGACUCUGGAGAUGAAACUUAGCUCAUCAACAUUAGCAGCAAGUCCUUUUGUCCACUGAAUUAUCUUUCCAGCAUCCUUCUAGGGUUGUCUAUAAAGCCUGAAUCAAAGAGUGGAUGGAACCCCAACACCAUGUGUGUUGAGUUGUGUCUGAGAAUUCUGUACAUAGCAGAAUGACAGAGAAUGAGGAAAGGAGAAAGUAGACAAUUGUAAGAGAAGUCACCUUAGUACAGGGAAUAUGAUGGUGCUUCCUCAGAGAAUAAUACACUAAAAAGGAACAAAGAAUCAUUCAGCUUAAGGUGUUAAAUACAUUUCAAAGAAAAUAGGAACAAAAAAUUAUGGACUCUAGAGACAAGAACACUUAAGUACCCCUUUUCCAAAGAUAGAUGAAUCAGUCUAUCUAUCUAUCUAUCUAUCUAUCUAUCUAUCUAUCUAUCUAUCUAUCUAUCUAUCUACCUACCUAUCUAUCUCUAUCAUGUCUUUAUCUCUCUGUUUCUAUUAUCUAUCAUCUAUUUAUCAUCUAUCUCUCAUUUAUCUAUGAUUUUAUCUAUCAUGUGUGUGAUACACACACACACACACACACACACACACACACGGGGGAGUUUGUUUGUGUGUGAUUAGUUGAAUGUAUACAUGCAUGCAGAGACCAGAGUAGAGUACUGUAUGCUCUCCUCCAUCACUCUCCACCUUUCAGCUUUUUCUUUGAGGGAAGGCCUCUCUGUCUCUGAAUCUAGGGUUCACAUAUUCUCAGCUAUGCUGGAAGUCAGAAAUUCCCAGAUAUCAUCUUCUCUCCACUCCCCUUGGAUUGCUUGCUAAGCAUAAUUUUUGUCUUAAAACUUUGUGGGAAAUGAGGGGAAACAGAAUUUUUUUUCAUGUAGGCAAAACAUCAAGGCCCUCUAGGGAUCAGAUGUGCACAAAAAUUAUUGGGUAGAAGAUAGGUAAAGAUUAAUAAAUAUAACAGAUUAAUAAGAACAAGAUUAAUAAGUAGAAGAUUGGUGGUUAUUUUUUAUGUAUAUACACUUGCACACUUUUUGAAAAUGUAUUUUAUUUUUCUUUAGAUGUGUAUGGCAUAUUUAUGUGUGGGGGUAUGUUUUCUUGAGUGCAGGUUUCCCCAAAGAAGAAAGGGAAGCCAGAUCCCCUAGGGUUUGUUGUACAGGUGUUGUGAGCCUCCAGAAAUAAAGACUGGGAAAUACAGUCCACUACUCAGCAGGAGCAGUAAACCCUCUUACGUGCUAAGCCAUUCUUCAGCCCUGAGACUGCAUUUAUUAAGAUCAACAUGUACCAAGUGGCUAAGCUUCUCGAGGCUUUAUGACACCCAAGCAUAGUUUUAUUCAUGUGGAAUGAAUUUUGGCUAAAGAGCUCACCCAUUAAUUUUCUCUAUUCUAUGAAGUACAGUAUUUGCCAAUGAGUAUGAUGACAAAUGGCCCAGUAAACAGUCUUUCAGAAAAUGUAAGUUUUCACUUUUUUAACCAAUUGAUUUCAUCCCUUUACAGAUUUCUCUCAUAACCUACUCAAGAAUCAUUCAACCACUAAACUGACAUUGAACUACAAGUAUGGAUUAGGCUUUAGAAAAACAUACCCCCAAGGCCUGAUCUCAUAUUUAAAUAGAGUUCUAUGGAGAAGAGGUGAAUUUGUCUCCUACAGUGAAUUUUCCCAUAAGGGGAUAGCUACUCCUUAUUUUUUGAUUUUAUGACUUGAUUCCCUCCUACAGCGUUCCGACCAUAAAUUUUCUUCUGCACCUCUGUUCCUAGUUCAUCAUAGUUGCUUUUAAAGUAAGUUAAUCUAAUCUGACAUACUUACCAGGUACAGAUUAAAGCUAUAUGUGUGUGCAAGAACACAUGCAUUUGUGUGCAAUUUUAGAGUGUAUUCAAGUGCAUAUAGAGGACAGUGAUCAACUCUGAGUGUUGCUCCUUGCAACACUGUUUGCUCUUCUUCCUCAUUCUUUUCCUUCUCCUUCUCCUUCUCCUCCCCCUUCCCUUUCCCCCUCCCUUCCCCC